GUCCAGCACAGGAGGCGAGUCUCGCUGCCGACCACCACCGCACUGGCUGCCGCGGCGCCCGACGUGUCUGGUUGUUCAGCAGACUGCAAGUUCGGUGAAGUUGUUUUGCGGGAAAAGUUUUUUACUUGGCCCGACACCUGCGACCUUCCGUGAUGUUCCGCAGAAACGCUUGUUGGUUCAUCCGCAUUUUUGUGGCGGUGGUCAUAUGUAGUGGCUACAGUCACCCAGUUUCCGUUACAGAAUCCCUCACAGUGGGACGAGUUCAGGAGGCUGAGGAGGCCACGGCCGUGGAUCUGGGCGCUCUGCUGGACGCCGGGGACGGCGCUGUGGUGACUCUGCUGGCCGGGGACACGCGGCUUGUGGCUCACAGGGCUGUCUUGGCCGCCAGGAGUCCCGUGUUUGCGGAAAUGUUCCGUCGCGUCACUGUAGAGGGCAGCAGCAGCCAGCUCGUACUCUCGU